GCCUUCCUCUCGUUUUCCUUUUUCUGAAUCCCCUUUUCAUCUCCACCUCCUUUCUCUUUCUCUUCUGUCUCUUCUCUUCGUCUCUCGCUCCGUGCCUUGAUCUUGAUCUACGCGUCCGUCCUGUUCUUCUGUCUUGGGCACACUCUUGGUUCCCCUUUGUGUCUGCGUCUGGGGUUUCUUCUCUUUGCCUCUGGCUCGGGCCCUCCUGGGUUGGCUCAUAGCAAUGAUGAUGCCCGGUUUGGGACGUCUCUCUCGCCCUUUCUCCUGCCUGUUUGGAGAGGCUGGGAAGAGGGCACAGGGAUGUGGGUAGUCUUUACACAUUUAAACACCCCCAUUCCCUAACACACGUAUGAGUGGAGACAGGAGCUGGCAGGGGAAGUCUGGGGGAGCCCAGAAGAUGGCCGAGAGCAGACUUGGGGAGGCCUGGCCCGCUAGAUCCGGCAGAAUAGAAAUAAGGAGCUCCUGGAGGCGUCCAAGGGUGCAGAAUUAUUUUCGGGCUCAGUUUAAUUCAGUCUCUGAAAGGAAUUCCUGGCCCAGGACCGGAUUGUGGCCUUGGGACCCUGGUGGGAAUGAGUUGGGUCUCCUGACUCCCCCUUCUCUCUAGUCCUCGGGAUAGGCUGGGGAGAGGAAGGGGGCUGGUUCAAGACAAAAGGCUUCCAGGUGGCUGGGGGCAGGGGCCUUCCAUGUACAGACAGUGAGGUCCAUGCAGGGGAACUCAGCCUGAGAGCCCAGAAACCAUGCUUUCGCAUGUGGCUCUGCCACUGGCUGACAACCCUGGACAAACCUUCUCCCUUUUGGGCAUCAGUGUCCCCACCUGUCAAACGAGAUACGUAUUUAGAGGUGCCAAGAUCUGACUUACUCCAAAUGCACUGCUUCUAUUAAUUAAUCCGCUUUCUCCUUUCGUGUUUAUGAAAGACAAGCAUUCAGUCAGAGCUUCUGAUUAGCAUGAUUCAUUACCAUGAAGAGCUAUUCUGAUUCCAGCCAAAGGCACCCCAGGAGACCCCCCUUGAUGCUUCAGUGGAGGCAGCAGUACCUUGGAUUCUAGCACCAUUCUAUUAAGAUUCUGUUAAGACCUCUACUAAUACUAGCUACCAUUUAUAGAAGAUUCACUAUGAUCAGGCACUGCUGCUGCUGCUGCUAAGUCGCUUCAGUCGUGUCCGACUCUGUGUGACCCCACCAGGCUCCCCCGUCCCUGGGAUUCUCCAGGCAAGAACACAAGUGGGUUGCCAUUUCCUUCCCCAAUGCAUGAAAGUGAAAGUGAAAGGGAAAGGGAAGUCGCUCAGUUGUGUCCAACUCUUCGAGACCCCAUGGGCUGCAGCCCACCAGGCUCCUCUGUCCAUGGGAUUUGCCAGGCGAGAGGACUGGAGUGGGGUGCCAUCGCCUUCUCCGUGAUCAGGCACAGUGCUAAGCAUUUUAUGUUAAUUAUCUCAUUUAAUUCUCUCAGCAAAUCCUCAUACUUACUGCUGGGAAUGUAAGACUUUGAAAAACUAGCAGUUUCUUAUAAAGUUAAAUAUAAAUUGACCAUAUGACUUUAGCCAUUCUUCUAGGUAUUCACCCAAGAGAAAUGAAAACAUAUGUCUGUUCAAAACCUUGUACAGGGAACAGUCAUAGCAGCCUUGCUCAUUAUAACCCCACAUUGGAAACAACCCCAAAGUCUAUCAAAUGAUGAACGCAUAAACAGAAUGUAGUACAGUCAUAUAUGAUGGAAUAUUACUCAGCAAUAAAAAGGAGCAAACAUGGGAAUUCCCUGGUGUUCCAGUGGUUAGAACUUGGUGCUUUUAUUGCCUUGGGCCUGGGUUCAAUCCCUGGUCAAGGAACUAAGAUUCCCACAAGCUGUGGAGUGUAACCAAAAAAGAAAAAAAAAAGGAACAACUACGGAUGUAUAGAAUCUAUAGAUGGACCUCAAAAAUAUUAGCCUAAGUGGAAGGAACAAAGCACAAAGGACAACAUAUUGUAUAAUUCCAUUUAUGUUCAAUUUCCAGGAAAGGUAAAUUUAUAGGGAUAGAAUAUAGAAUAGUGGUUACCUAAGGCUAAGAAGAAGAAGAGGAGUGACUGCUAAUGAGUACAAGAGAGUUUUUUUGGAGAGACUGAUCACAGCUGACUCUUUUCGAACCCUUGGUCUGUAGCCCACCAGGCUCCUUGGUCCAUGGAGUGGGUAGCCAUUCCCUUCUCCACGGGAUCUUCCCGACCCAGGGAUCACACCUGGGUCUUCUGCACUGUGGGCAGAGUCUUUACUGUCUGAGCUACCAGAGAAGCCCCAAUAAAAAUAUUUUAAAAUGGAUGUGGUGAUGCUCAUACAAUUCUUUAAAUAGG
ensembl:lncRNA